CUAGUGUUCCUUUGUUUGCCAGGGAAUGUUUCGGGAAGGCUGUGGAGUGGGACGGUGGGGAUGAAGCGGGGAGUCCCACACUCUCUGGGUCCAGGCACAAAGCUAUCCUCCGUUGUUCUGAUCUGCAGAGCCAGCGCCCUCAGCAGGUACCUAGUGGUGGCAGAGCCGUGGCCUACACGUUCCCAAGGAGGCCGCCAGCCGGGCUGUACCCUUACCUUGGGGGUGUGUGCAGAUGGAAGGUGGGAAGAGACAGACCAACAGGAAGUGUUCUCUUCAGGGGUUGCCAGCCCCACCCUGAAUCUCAGAGCAUCCUCCUCCCCGGCAAAGGCCAGGGCACUGUCCCGACCAUGGGCUCUGUACAAGCAGAGGGAGGCACCCGGAGGCUGGUGUGAGCAGCUACGUGGGGUGGUGGUCCAGGGAACAGAGGGAGGGCACUGGAGCCAUUGCCUGCCUAGUUCAGUCCUCAAAUGGGUCCAAGCCAGCUCAGGUCUGCAGCGCCAGCAGAAGCAGGGUCGAGAAAGACACACUGAAGUUUGCUAGCAAUUUGUUGACCUUGCUGUAUUAAGCUAUGCAGAGUCUCUCCACUGGUGUCUCCUCUCUUGUUAACCAAAAUUAAUGUAAGGGGGAGAUGGACUAAAUGAUUAUCCCGCCGGCCCAGCGUGGACUCUCUACUCUUCUCUAUACUUUCCACUACAUAGGAUAGCGAUUCCUUUGAAUUGUAAAGGCAGAGACAGCCGUGGGGCUGAAAUGUUGGCGUCUGGAAAGAGUUCACAGGAAGCCUGACAUUCCCCUCUAUUGGCCUCAGGGAAAGCUCAUACAUUUUACCAUCUAUCACAUACUUGUCAUCAUUUGUACAAAGAGCUCGAAUCUCAUUGGCCAACUCUCGGGCAAGGCCGUCUUUGCCCAAUAUAACCAAGUUGAUUCUAUCAAUGUUAGGGUCAGAGAGUGAAUUUUUCUGAUUCCGGUCAGACGGCCGGAUAAACCGAGAACUAAUCAAGUGCUCAAUCUUAGCGUCCACACAAGCUGGGCAGCUGGGGCAUGUCUCCUUUGUUGGGUGGUACACAAAAUGAAUGUGUUUCAGAAUAAGGGCAUCACGCUCUGCUUGGAGCUUUUGUAAUGCUUUAAAUCGCUGUUCCUCUCCCAGAACAUCCUGAAUAACACCCAUCUUCUCCUUGCUGGGCUUAGCAUCCAGCUCCAGUUCAUAAAACAAUUCUGAAUAUUCCAAAAGCAACUCCUGAAAUUCUUCCUUUGCUUUAUCUAUAAUUUGCUUUUGGUGUUUGCCAUAAAUAUCCAUGUAUACAGAUUCCUCCAGCCACUGGUAGAAAUCCUCAUUCAUAAUAAAACUACGGGCCUCUUCCCAAGGCUUUCCGGGAGUUAUGAAAGGAGAAGUCUCCAGGUUUUCUUUAAACGCCCUUCGCAUCUCAACUCUUUUCCUUUCGUUCCUCAGCUUCUCUAAGUGGGCCUCGUAUAGCUGCUCUGCAGGGACGGUAUCCAUUAAAUCAAAGGGAAUCCGUUCGUUUUCCAUGUUGUCAAUGUGACUGGUGGCAUCCCAUGGGGUCUCUUCAAGCACAACAAACCACUUCAAGAAUUCUGGCUUGGUUUCUAAGAGCUUUUUGGCUUUUAUGCAGCUUAGGUGGUCUAUUUCAUCUAGAUUAGGUAUAAGAGCUUCAAAAGCUAAUGGCAGGGCUGCCAGGUACAGCUUUCUCCUACGCUCGAUAUGCUCAUGCUUGAGGCGGUGGAUGUGCUGUAGAAACAGCUUCUUGGCUUUCUGAGUCCCUUCCAGGUAGACAUAGUCCUGGUAUUCUGGAGAGGCCUGCAUCUUUCGGCUGACACUCAGCCAGUUCUCAUUGUGGUUUUUCACAAUGCGACUCACCAGCCACUCAUACUUGUCUUUUGCUGUAGCUAUCUGCUGACUCUGCUGCUUGAGAGCUUCAAAAUAAGGAAUGAUUUUUGUCUUUCCCCGACUUUUAUCAAUGAGUUGCACUAAGGUGCUGAAAGCCAAGUCCACGUUUACAUUGGAUCUCGCUGAGGUCUCCACAACCUGGAGGUUCUUUUUGCUUAAGGCAAAAGUAUGUGCAUCUCUAAUGUACCGCUCAACACCUUCGUCACACUUAGUCAGGACCACCACUAUGGGCUUUUUUGUUUUUGCAAGCUGAUUGUAGAGAUUGGAGACAAACUUGAGCUGGUCAUCAAAGUUCCUAUUCAUGCCCCUGCUAACAUCAAUACCAAGAAGAAAACCAUCAACCAGCAGCUUUCCGUCUGGCAUUUGUUUCUGCUCAAAGUCCUGCUCCAGCCCCAGCUGGUCAGUGCAAAAGUACAUGAGUUUUUCAGCUGAUGCAAGCUUGGUCGCAGCAGCUCUCUUGAUAUAGGGCUGCAGGGCCGUGCUUCGAUGAGGUUGAAAAGUCUGAUCAUCAAUAAAUUCAGUCUGCUCCACAAUGUGCAUCUUACAUUCCACACAAUCCUCCAGGGAGCGGCUAACUUCUCCCCAGUAGAGAAAGUGGUCAUUAUUGACCACUCGCCCUCCAAAGUCACUGGUGCUGAGGACGGAGGUAUGGUCCAAGUGAAACUCGUCAGCACUCGGGCGCACGAAGCGGUUGCACAAACAAGACUUUCCAAUCCCACACUGGCCCUUUUCCUUCUCGGUCCCAGAUAAUCCCACCACACUGAUGUUGUAGGUGGGAAUUCGGACAUCUUGCUUUCUUGCCAUCAUCAU
rnacentral:lncRNA from 1 species